UGUUUCGUUAUUCUCCAUUUUUUUCAUGACAGGCUUCAUAUCUCUGGAGUUUUGAUUCUAACAAGCAGCCAGAUGAUUCUUCCAAGCCAACCUACGAUACGUGCAAGAUCUGACACUGUUUAAUUUAAGAAGUAGUUUUCUUGGGCUUUGAUAUAUUCUCCCAACUCACUUCUCUCUGCCCCUUUUUUCAUUUCAGACUAGUGUAGCCCCGAGCACCCUUCCAGGCAAAGACGUGACAGGCCAGCAGAAACAGUCUGUGCAGAGCAUCUGUUUGGGACCCUUCCUAAACACGGUUCCUGCCGACCUCUGAUGGAAAUCAUCUGCUGGAGAGCAGUGGGCUUAUGGCCAUUGGGUACUGAUUUCCUGCCAGAAACAUUUAACAGCAUUAAACUGUUGUGAAUCCCAUUUCGAAGCCUCUUUAGUAAAGCAGUGAUUAAUCUGAGCUCUUCUACAUCUUGCAAGAGAAGGCUGCUCACUGGAAAGGGAUCCAGUGGCCAAGAAGAUGACAGCAGACCAGUAACCUGUUGCUUCGUUAUAUGAUUGAAUUGGUCCUGAAGCUGGGAGCCUCUUGCUGUGUACCCAAGGUAUGGACAUCUGCUGCCUUCCUUGUUUCUGAGCUUCACUGAAAAUGUCUCUUUCUGUAUGUUAACCAGGCUGCCUCCAUCAAAGGACAAUCAGAUCAUGAUCAGAAUAUUUUUGACAAGCCAACCCACUUGAUCUCCAUUAGCAUCUUGUAAGUGCUGGCUUAACCAACAGAAGUAAUGAGGCUACUGUCAGCUGACUGAUGGUGAAGCUUCAGCAAGCUGAGAUGCACAGACAGAACAUUACUACAAGCGGACAACCCCUGUCAUUCAGUCAGAGGUGGCACCUUGCUGGGAUAAGGGAAACUGAUUCUGAGACAUCCAGGCAUCCAGGAGCAGAGGAAGCCAGAUACUGUGCUUUCUUCAGUACAGGAGCUCUCAGGAUACAGAAGUCAUGAAGAAAAUAUCUUCAAUGCCAACUCUUUCUUAAAGUAUUGAUGGUAGGCUGCACUGAAACGAGGUACGGAUCAAGUCUUUCAAACUCACUACUGAAAAUAGAUGCAGUUUGCUAUCUGCCUCAAAAAUCUGCCUUAGUAUUUGAAUAUUUUUUGUCUGUCUUUUCUGAAAUGGGUAGGAUGAGGCUAGCCCCCCAAAAUCUGUUUUUCCAGUUGAUAGAAAACCCAGCUUACGCUUGCUGUGAAUUCAUGAUUUAGUAACCACCACGUGAACUAUGUUUAUCAGUUAAAGCUCCUCUAGAGAAGAUUCUAGCUGAUACCAAGUAGGUCUGGGAAGAAGGAGGCUUCUUGUAGGUAUGAAAUUUAAAUAUCUGAAAUGAUUUCAUGUACAAAGCCUACAAUUCCUAUUGAAGCACAUGAUUAGAAGUCUUAAGUUCAGCAUCUCUGUUGAAUGAGGUCUGAGGGAUCAGGGCUGUAUAGGUUAUGGUUCAUAAAUAUUGCCUAACAUCUCACCAUUCCCUUGCUGUAGAUAUUUAUUUAAUCUACAUAUCUGACAGUAAAAUAUGACUUACUGCACUCUUAAUUUCUAUAGCAGCAAGAGAUUACCUACUAAAACAUUCAGUUUAAAAGAAUUCAUGAAUGUCUGAGUAAGUAGUAGCAUAAUUUGGGGCCUCUUUCUCAUUUGUUCAAAACAUCUUCCAGGUAUUCCCAGCACUGUGGCUGGGUAAACCAUCAUGUUUAUCCAAGAAGGCCAAAGCUUAUAUUCAUUAUGCAGUGAUAAUUCAUGAAAUAGAGUAGGGAAUCCAAACCAGUUUGCAUCAAGUUUUUGAAUAAGUUCUGUCUGCCAGAAACAAACAAACAAAAACCUUCAGCUCCUGUGAAUGCUUACAUAUUUCAUGUUUCCUUACUAUUUUCAAGGUGGUAUUUCUGAUUGCGAUCACCUUUGUAUGUCCUCAAAAUGUUCCUGGAACAUUGACUAAUUCUGGCUUUUUAUUUCAGAAAAAAUAAUCACUCCCUAAAGUUCGCUUCUAAUAUGAGGUUUUCAACUCUAAGGAUGUCCAGGAGAGUCCUAAGUAUCUGAUAGCCUCAGAGUUUAGAAAAACUUGAAGAAUGGGAGAAAAAAUGUUUCAAUGUAUUUAAUAUAGUUCUAUUCUGUUUCAUCUGGAAUUAAAUAUUUUGUCCUUUUGAUUAUGUUAUAUUAAAAAUGAAAGUUGUAAGAGCAAAAUGCAGAAAUAAAUAACAAAAUAUUUAGACACAUGCAUGAAUAAUGUUCAUAUUGACACCAGUGGAAGUAUUUACCUACAUAAUAUUUCAGCCAUUAAGUAUCAGUGUGAUUGAUAAUUAAGUGCAAUGUUUCAAAAAUUUAUGUAUAUGACCAUUAUAAAAUAGGUCCUAUGACAGGUUCAUUCCCCCAAAUCAAACUGUUUAGAAUUUUCUAUAUUUCAUUUGGAUGUAAAGCCUAUUUCAGAUGAUGCUGAAAUCUUCCUUAAGGUGUGACUUCUUUUUCCUUGCCUUACUUACUCCCAGACAAGGAAGCUCCCUGCAUGCAGAGCAUUUGGUAUGUUUGGUUUUUUGUUUUGUUUUGUUUUGUUUUUAUUAUGUGUUAAGAUGACAGCAUGGCUAAUAGUAAUGGCUUCAGUUUUUCCCAUAGCUACUUACAAAGCUGGCAUUUUCUGUAAAAUUUAAGGGAAUUAGUCAAAUCCCAAUAAAUUUCAGUAGAUGUUGGACACUGUGAUGGCUCAGCUGCUUUGAAAAUCCUGAAAGGCUAAUGAUUUUCUUUGUAUCUACUACAUAAAUUUAUUUGUCUAAGCAAAAUGUUUAGAAAUGAACUGAAACACGUAUUCUGAAUGGAUCUAAAUAAUGCAAAAAUACCGCAGUGUAGCUCUUGAAAUAGUGUGUGUAUUCUCUUUUCAAUAACCCUUCCUUUUGUAAACUAAGGACCUGAAGAGCCAGCAACUGAAGUCAAUGGAAAGGGAAGCUGCUGAGCAACUUUGUAAACAAACCCUCACAGUUCAGUGAGGUAUUCAGAGUAAUAUACCAAAAAUUGCAUUUUUUUUUUUCUUUUUCUGUUCUCUGUAUAGUGUCUAAAAGCUUGAUCACCAAUACAGACUCCAAAUGCAAUUUCAGUACAACUUCGAAGGAAAGGAUAUACAUUAGCCAGGGUUUUCCUACAGUCUCUCAAACCUCAUAGGCAUUCAGCAAAAGUAAUUGUGAAGUGGGACCCUUGAAGGGAAAGGCACUGACAGAUCUCUAGCACUCCUUGGCCUGGGAAGCCAUGAGCAUUGCUCAAUGAAUACUUCCAGCGCGGGUCUGACUCUGUUUCUCCAUGCUGACUCAACAAUCUAUCCAACAAAACAUUGCAUUAUCUAGGCUCCAUGGGACAUGUGGGAGACAGAAUAGAGAGCAUAAAAGGAUCCAUCAAUAAAGGCUUUGGGAGUUGCCGAAAUAUGCAACCAAGAGAAAAGAGUCAGACUAAAAGGCCUGCAUGCUCUCCACCACCACUGACCUCCAAGGGGGCCUUUCUUUGUGUCGUAAAAGCAGUCCCAAACCAACAACUCUCUACCGCAGUCUUGUGUGGGAUGUUCCCAUGGCCUUUGAAGUUUUUGCUGUUCUUGGAAAGCAAAUGCUACUACUCUCAGCAGUGUGUCCUCUACACCAGGAUAAAGCCUAGCUCUUCAGGGUGAGGUAUAUGGACCUCAUGGCCUCCUCUCUUCACUGCUGUGCCCGUAGUCAUCACUCAGAAGGACCAGCAAAAUAGACUGUGUUUCCUGCUGCUUUUAUACAUGGACACAAGGCUUGAAGGUACAAUCAAACCUUUAUAACAUCCUACUGGCAAAAGAAGCCAAACCUUAAACAAGCCAGGUCUGUGUUGCCCUCAUGUCCAUGAGCAUUGCUGCACCAGCCUGCAUGGAUGACAGCUCACAAAUUAAAUUAUAUUUUGGUGUCAUUGCAGGAUCUAAGCUGAAACCCAGUGAAGUUCAUGGAAGACUCCCAUUUGUUUCUGUUUAAACAGACAUUUCCAGACUGAAGCACAGUGAUUCUUUUCAAUCAACUAAUGAGUCCUCUCACCAGCAAAGAGUUAGACAUUGUAGGGUUUUGCUCAGUCUGACCUUGAGAGCAGUAUGUCAGGUGGCUGCUUCCCACCUGCUGAAAUGGGGCAGGUAAUAGGGUGGCUGAGGUGCCAGGGGGGAGGAAUUUCUGUCUUCACAGAAUCACCAGUGCAGUAAAUCAUACAUUAGGUUUAAAUUAAAUUGUGCUGAAAUAAAUGGAUUGCUUUCUAAGAAGAAAGGUUACAGAAUUACUAGAUGAAGAAACAUGAAACAAAUGAGCUAAUUACAUGCCCACUUACUUCUGUGCUAAGCAUGAUAGCUCAAAAUGAAUUUCUGUACGCUUCUUAUAGGCGUACGGUAGUUCUAUGGUUUACAUAGCAGACUUAAUUAUUUUGCAAACUAUUUGAUAUUAUAUCUUUUACAUUCUACUCCUGUCUAAAUUGUCUGGAUUACAAAAAACACAAGGACAGAAAGUUGGAUCAAAGACUCCAGGCAAUGCAUAAUAAUAAAUAGGACCAAACUAGCAAGCGUGUGGGGAGGUAAUAGUGAGUGAGCAUCCAGAAACAACAGCAGCUAUGAUCAUGCCUCCAUUAACAACUUCAUACACUGUCUGAAACUGAAAGUAAACAGUGUCUCAACAUUGAAAUGCAAAAGUUGUACCACAUACAAAGAGUUCUUUGCUCAUUGCUCUUGGUAGAGAAGAGUAUACUUUUUGCUUGGACCAUAAUUUCACUGAUUCCUUGUUAAUUUCCAGAGUGUUGAUGUGAAGUUUAGAAACUUGUUAUAUAUGAUUUAAGUCCUUAAACUGAUGGAUUCCCUUCCUUUGUUCAGAUAGUUCAGAAUACAGACUGCAUUCAUCUGAAGUGCUUGAACUGCAUUACUAAGCACAAGCAUCUCACAGUUUUUGGGAAACAGCUAUAUUAUAAGAAGCAGAGAUGCAUUAAGUUCUACAGUUACUCUGAGAAAACCUCCUUUAAGGAAACUUAACAUUUCCACUUGUCAUUUUUUCCAGUGAUAUGAGAUAGUACAUUGAAAUCCCUGUAAAGUCUUGCCAGAGAGAGGACUUCUGGAUUUCUACAGUAAUGCAGGCUUUCACUGCAUGCUGUGUCUAUCCCAUUGACAAAUCAAUCGAGCCAUGCACCACAUUUUGCUUUAAACCAACAUAGGAAUUAAUGAAAGAGCUGGUAGCCUUUUUAAGAGGUUGGUGUAAUUUUGGAAAUGUCUCUGGAUCACCAAGUGUGUAUCCAUACAAUGUGUAAACAAGUUUUAUUUUGCAAAGCUCUGUGAUACAGCUGUUUCUCAUUUUCAUCUUGCAGAUGCUAUCUUGCUUACAGAGCAGCUUAGUUAAAAAGCUGUGUUGACUCAUAAGGCCAAGAUGUACAAUAUUCAGUUUUGGUUGAAAAGUGCAUAACUUCUUUAUCAUCCACAGGCAAAAAGCUUCACAGUAAUAACCCCUGUGGUUUACUAGGUGCAGAAGACUGUAGGUCUGGAAGUGGUGUCAAAACUCCCAUUUUGCAAGAAGCGAGCACAGUCAACUAUAAAAGGCUAAAGAAUAUGCUUAUUCAUCUUAUUUUUAUGGAAAGUCUUGGUGACUCACUGCAUUGGCGAGAGAAGAGGAUUUAGUUUAGUUAUUACUGUUUGUAAUUCACUUUUCCGUUAAGAUGGAAACAAAACAGAAACAACAUGGAAGAUUCCCUGAACACAAGCAAACAUGCCUGCUGCCUCUGUGUUCGCAUGCCCUUUGGGCGGAGGAGCACGGGAGCUGCAGGCACAUCCCUGAGUGAGUCGGUCCCUAACUGUGAAGGAGCUGUGUCUCAGACAAGAAGAAGAAAUGAAGUUUCAUUCUCCCCAGGGCAAGGACUUGGAGCAAUAGAAUUUCCCUCGUGGAGAAGUGAAGACAUCACGUCUAAUUGUUAGGACAUAAUGACCCCAAGGGAGAGAGCCUGGUGGUCAGCAGGGCAGAAGAAAACUGACUCCCAUGUUCAGAAAGAUGAGAGGAGAAGUGACUGAGUUCAGGGCAUGUGCAGAGAGUUCACACGCCCAACCACAGCCAAAAGAAGGCUCAGGAGUAUUGAGACAAAGGAAGCAGAAAUGUGAAUGUUAGCCUGUUUUGCAUGGAUUUGUCUGUCUGAAAGCACACAUGCACACAGAUAUUCUCCAAGUGACUAAUAAAAGACAAAACUUGUGAAUCCAUAUUUUGUUUGCAUUCAACCAAUACAUAUUUCUGUAAAUACCGCAGUGAAUGAGAUCUGAGAACAGAUUUGCUCAAGCUCCUGGAGAAUCAGAACUAGGCCAGAUAAUGCAAUCUAGGGAAGGAGAUGCAAUUUCAGUGACAGUAGCAACCAGGGAAGCUGUUCCCCUCAGUGUUGAGUACCACAGGAGGAGUAGGAGCUGAAGAUUGCUAUUAAGAAAGCACUUGGCUGCUGCACCAGCUUCUAUAUACAGCAAAUUUGCACAUUCAGCUCUGCUAAGGUUGUGAAAGAGAACAACAUUUGUACUAAGAGAUAAGAAAAGGAGUUAUUCUCAGUGAAGAACUCACUGCAACUCUGUUUUAUCUGUUGUUACCAAACCUGACUCCUUCUGAAAUUUGAGAGCUAGCAACUCAAAUUAACAAUCUCUGAAUUAGGUGUCAGCGCUUUCCCUUAGGAAUGUAAACCAGCUUGCAGGGAGGUGAAACCUUCAUGCUAGCAGCAUUUCCCCUUCACAUCUUGCAAUCCACGUUUCUUUUCUCCUCAAUUAAUUUGUUGUGUUCAUGACUAAAGUGCAGGUUCCUUUUUUUCUCCUCUGAGUAUUCCAAUCAGUAGAACUUUGCAUCUGAAGGAAUAAUGUACGUUCUAGCUAAGACUUCCCACCUUUAUUUUCAACAUUUAUUAUCCAGUACACAAUAUAUCAUGGAGAAUACCAAACCUCAGAGAAAGCAACAAGAUAAGUCUUCCAGAAAUGUUAACAAGUAAAUGCUUUAGCUAGGAGGAUGCAUGGGAGUACUGGUGGGCUACAGAGUCAAACAAGUCACACAGGGACUUAAUGGGGAAAUAAUUAAUUUUUUGAGAGUACUUUACAAACUAAUUAUGUCUUACUCCUUAAUUUUCCAGGUGAAUACAAGAAACUAGAAACAGAUUUAUCAUCUUGCUAACAUUCUGAAGCAGGCUUCUAGAAGGAAACUUUCCCCAUGGCAUUCCAAGAUCUCUUAAAUUAACUGAAGGAACCUUGGAGAAAUAUUGUACCUUCUGUUCCCAGAGUACUGCUACCAGGUUUGCCAGCUGUGUGAGUGCCCGCCUGCUGGAGAGGAAGGAGUUACAAGGAGAGGAGAUCAAAGCAGCUGGGAUCUAUCAAGCUAUCAGGGCCCACUGCCAGAGAAGAGAAGGGACUGGGGCUAAGAGGAUGGCUUUGAUCCCAGGAAGAGAGGGCUGUGGGUCAGGAAACAUGAAGUAAGGCAAGCUUUGUUUACUUUGGCCCUGUUUUUGAGAGACUUAAAGGGAAAUAUGGGAAAGCUAAGCAAAACAACCUCAAACAAGAUCUGUGUAACUUCUUUGGUAUAUAAAUAUCCCUAGACAGAGGAGAGAGACAACCAGAAGCACCACUUGAGAAAUGGAAUUCAAGGCACAUGUUUCAAGGUGCCAUCGCGUGCUGGUGCACCUGUGCCGUAGCCCUCAGCACGUCCAUCAUCACCCCCAGAGCCAGGCAUGGUGCCACCUGGCUGUGUGUGCAGAGGGUGUAAGCUACGUGCUAUAAGCAUGUGGAGAUAUGGGAGGAACAAAAGGAAAUGUCUCAAGAACAGCCGCAGACAAGACAGUUUUGUAAGCAGAAGUCCCUACCACGCAUAGAAAACCCACGUUAUGUUACAGCAACUUUGCAAAUACAUGUAUACCACGGCCUGUAUGAGUGUUAGAGUUAACAAGAAAGGAAUGCAUGUGACAAGAGGUCAUGGAUCAGAAGAGAUCCCUUCAAGCAGAUGUGGAGAGCCAGCCUUCCAGGCCACCCAGCAGCAGCGGGGCUGGCCCGGCGUGGUCUCUGUUCCCUCCGCCCAGAGAAGCAGCUGGACACCACCUCUCCAUUCUAGGAAACCCGUACGCUCCUUGGACACGUGGCACGUCUGUGGUCCAGAAGAGAACGUCACACCUGCCUUGUACAGUCAGGGAAAAUUGGUCCAAUGCUAAUCCUGAAGACUGAGAUUUAUUUAUUUAUUUAUUUAUUUUCUUACAUUUUCAUGACCAGGAUUUCCUUUCUUUUGGAUCAAUCUCAUAUUGCCAUAUUUUCUGACCUACUCACAGAUCUUCCUUUGCCUCCAUUUAGAAUAGAUUUUUCUAAAAAAUUAUUUGUUUUUCCUUUCUAAUUUCUUCUGCUUUGAAUCGUGUUAAUUCCAAACUGAUCAAGAGUUAAAACAAUUAAUCCUGUGUUCUUUGGUUUUGUUUUUUUCCAAACGAUGAGUCAUGAGUACGGAUGGCCUUUUGUUAUUCUUUAGUAAACUCAAACAAGAAUAUUUAUUCCCUCAUUAGAAAAAACAAUAAAUCAGAGAAGAGAAAAAUGUAAAAAAAAAUAAUUUAAAAUAA